rnacentral:misc_RNA from 1 species
GGAAGUAAAAGUCGUAACCAGGUUUCCGUAGGUGAACCUGCGGAAGGAUCAUUAUUGUAUAACCGAGGUGCGAGGGCUGUCGCUGACCCGAAAGGUCGUGCACGCCCGAGUGCCCUCACACACAUCCAUCUCACCCCUAUGUGCACCACCGCGUGGGUCCCCCUUUGGCUUGUUCGGAGGGGGGCUUACGUUUUCACACAAACUUUGUAUGCAGUGUAGAAUGUAUUUUUUGUUUUUGCGAUCACGCAAUCAAUACAACUUUCAACAACGGAUCUCUUGGCUCUC